rnacentral:rRNA from 1 species
GACGAACGCUGGCGGCGUGCUUAACACAUGCAAGUCGAACGGAAAGGCCCUGCUUGCUGGGUACUCGAGUGGCGAACGGGUGAGUAACACGUGGGUGAUCUGCCCUGCACUUCGGGAUAAGCCUGGUAAACUGGGUCUAAUACCGGAUAGGAGCCAUUUUUAGUGUGAUGGUUGGAAAGUUUUUUCGGUGUAGGAUGAGCUCGCGGCCUAUCAGCUUGUUGGUGGGGUAAUGGCCUACCAAGGCGGCGACGGGUAGCCGGCCUGAGAGGGUGGACGGCCACAUUGGGACUGAGAUACGGCCCAGACUCCUACUGGAGGCAGCAGUGGGGAAGAUUGCACAAUGGGCGCAAGCCUGAUGCAGCGAGGCCGCGUGGGGGAUGACGGCCUUCGGGUUGUAAACUCCGUUCGCUAGGGACGAAGCUUUUUGUGACGGUACCUAGAGAAGAAGCACCGGCUAACUACGUG